GCAGCCGUAUUUCAACGGAUAGAAUGCGGCCCUGCGAAGGCUGCGAUAUAGGUUCGAUUCCUAUCGGCUGUACCA
rnacentral:tRNA from 1 species